UACGAAGGGGCUAGCGUUGUUCGGAAUUACUGGGCGUAAAGCGCGCGUAGGCGGUGAUCUUUGUCAGAGGUGAAAGCCUGGGGCUCAACUCCAGAAUUGCCUUUGAAACGGGAUCGCUUGAGUCCGAGAGAGGAUGGCGGAAUUCCUAGUGUAGAGGUGAAAUUCGUAGAUAUUAAGGAAGAACACCGGUGGCGAAGGCGGCCAAUCUGGCUCGGUACUGACGCUCAGGCGCGAAAGCGUGGGAGCAA
rnacentral:rRNA from 1 species